CGGAGGAAAAGAAACCAACAGGGAUUGCCCUAGUAACGGCGAGUGAAGCGGCAACAGCUCAAAUUUGAAAUCUGGCGCAAGCCCGAGUUGUAAUUUGUAGAGGAUGCUUCUAGGUAGCGACCGGUCUAAGUUCCUUGGAACAGGACGUCAUAGAGGGUGAGAAUCCCGUAUGUGACCGGCCCGCACCUUCUACGUAGCUCCUUCGACGAGUCGAGUUGUUUGGGAAUGCAGCUCUAAAUGGGAGGUAAAUUUCUUCUAAAGCUAAAUACCGGCCAGAGACCGAUAGCGCACAAGUAGAGUGAUCGAAAGAUGAAAAGCACUUUGGAAAGAGAGUUAAAAAGCACGUGAAAUUGUUGAAAGGGAAGCGCUUACAACCAGACUUCUGGGCGGUGUUCCGCCGGUCUUUUGACCGGUCCACUCGCCGUCCCGAGGCCAACAUCAUCUGGGACCGCUGGAUAAGACCUCAGGAAUGUAGCUUCCCUCGGGAAGUGUUAUAGCCUGUGGUGAUGCGGCGCGUCUCGGGUGAGGUCCGCGCUUCGGCAAGGAUGUUGGCGUAAUGGUUGUCAGCGGCCCGUCUUGAAACACGGACCAAGGAGUCUAACAUCUAUGCGAGUGUUCGGGUGUCAAACCCCUACGCGUAAUGAAAGUGAACGGAGGUGGGAAGCGCGAGCUGCACCAUCGACCGAUCCUGAUGUCCUCGGAUGGAUUUGAGUAAGAGCAUAGCUGUUGGGACCCGAAAGAUGGUGAACUAUGCCUGAAUAGGGUGAAGCCAGAGGAAACUCUGGUGGAGGCUCGCAGCGGUUCUGACGUGCAAAUCGAUCGUCAAAUUUGGGUAUAGGGGCGAAA
rnacentral:rRNA from 1 species